UACGUAGGGUGCGAGCGUUAAUCGGAAUUACUGGGCGUAAAGCGUGCGCAGGCGGUUUUGUAAGACAGAUGUGAAAUCCCCGGGCUCAACCUGGGACUUGCAGUUGAAACUGGUGAGCUAGAGUAGGGUAGAGGGGUGUGGAAUUCCAGGUGUAGCGGUGAAAUGCGUAGAUAUCUGGAGGAACAUCAGUGGCGAAGGCGACACCCUGGACUCAUACUGACACUGAGGUGCGAAAGCGUGGGGAGCAAACAGG
rnacentral:rRNA from 1 species